AGUAUCAGGGGAUAAAACCAUGAAACAAUCUUAGGACACCUUCUAACACACAGUGCCUAUUUUCCUGUGAAUGAGAAGGCAUUUAUAUUAUGAUGAUACG
rnacentral:snoRNA from 1 species